GACGAACCGUGCGAACGUUGUUCGGAUUCACUGGGCUUAAAGGGCGCGUAGGCGGUCGGCCAAGUCUGGGGUGAAAUCUUUCGGCUCAACCGGAAAAGUGCCCCCGAUACUGGCCGUCUAGAGGGAGGUAGGGGCAUGUGGAACUUCCGGUGGAGCGGUGAAAUGCGUAGAUAUCGGAAGGAACGCCGGUGGCGAAAGCGACGUGCUGGACCUCAUCUGACGCUGAGGCGCGAAAGCUAGGGGAGCAAACGGG
rnacentral:rRNA from 1 species